UUAAGCGACUAAGCGUACACGGUGGAUGCCCUGGCAGUCAGAGGCGAUGAAGGACGUGCUAAUCUGCGAUAAGCGUCGGUAAGGUGAUAUGAACCGUUAUAACCGGCGAUUUCCGAAUGGGGAAACCCAGUGUGAUUCGUCACACUAUCAUUACGUGAAUACAUAGCGUAAUGAAGCGAACCGGGGGAACUGAAACAUCUAAGUACCCCGAGGAAAAGAAAUCAACCGAGAUUCCCCCAGUAGCGGCGAGCGAACGGGGAGCAGCCCAGAGUCUGAAUCAGCUUGUGUGUUAGUGGAACGGUCUGGAAAGUCCGACGGUACAGGGUGAUAGUCCCGUACACCAAAAUGCACAGGUUGUGAACUCGAAGAGUAGGGCGGGACACGUGGUAUCCUGUCUGAAUAUGGGGGGACCAUCCUCCAAGGCUAAAUACUCCUGACUGACCGAUAGUGAACCAGUACCGUGAGGGAAAGGCGAAAAGAACCCCGGCGAGGGGAGUGAAAAAGAACCUGAAACCGUGUACGUACAAGCAGUGGGAGCAUCCUUUUGGGUGUGACUGCGUACCUUUUGUAUAAUGGGUCAGCGACUUAUAUUCUGUAGCAAGGUUAACCGUAUAGGGGAGCCGAAGGGAAACCGAGUCUUAACUGGGCGUUAAGUUGCAGGGUAUAGACCCGAAACCCGGUGAUCUAGCCAUGGGCAGGUUGAAGGUUGGGUAACACUAACUGGAGGACCGAACCGACUAAUGUUGAAAAAUUAGCGGAUGACUUGUGGCUGGGGGUGAAAGGCCAAUCAAACCGGGAGAUAGCUGGUUCUCCCCGAAAGCUAUUUAGGUAGCGCCUCGUGAACUCAUCUUCGGGGGUAGAGCACUGUUUCGGCUAGGGGGUCAUCCCGACUUACCAACCCGAUGCAAACUGCGAAUACCGAAGAAUGUUAUCACGGGAGACACACGGCGGGUGCUAACGUCCGUCGUGAAGAGGGAAACAACCCAGACCGCCAGCUAAGGUCCCAAAGUCAUGGUUAAGUGGGAAACGAUGUGGGAAGGCACAGACAGCCAGGAUGUUGGCUUAGAAGCAGCCAUCAUUUAAAGAAAGCGUAAUAGCUCACUGGUCGAGUCGGCCUGCGCGGAAGAUGUAACGGGGCUAAACCAUGCACCGAAGCUGCGGCAGCGACACUAUGUGUUGUUGGGUAGGGGAGCGUUCUGUAAGCCGUUGAAGGUGUAUCGUGAGGUAUGCUGGAGGUAUCAGAAGUGCGAAUGCUGACAUAAGUAACGAUAAUGCGGGUGAAAAACCCGCACGCCGGAAGACCAAGGGUUCCUGUCCAACGUUAAUCGGGGCAGGGUGAGUCGACCCCUAAGGCGAGGCCGAAAGGCGUAGUCGAUGGGAAACAGGUUAAUAUUCCUGUACUUGGUGUUACUGCGAAGGGGGGACGGAGAAGGCUAUGUUAGCCGGGCGACGGUUGUCCCGGUUUAAGCAUGUAGGCGGAGGUUCCAGGUAAAUCCGGUACCUUUUUAACGCUGAGGUGUGAUGACGAGGCACUACGGUGCUGAAGUAACAAAUGCCCUGCUUCCAGGAAAAGCCUCUAAGCAUCAGGUAACACGAAAUCGUACCCCAAACCGACACAGGUGGUCAGGUAGAGAAUACCAAGGCGCUUGAGAGAACUCGGGUGAAGGAACUAGGCAAAAUGGUGCCGUAACUUCGGGAGAAGGCACGCUGAUAUGUAGGUGAAGUGAUUUACUCAUGGAGCUGAAAUCAGUCGAAGAUACCAGCUGGCUGCAACUGUUUAUUAAAAACACAGCACUGUGCAAACACGAAAGUGGACGUAUACGGUGUGACGCCUGCCCGGUGCCGGAAGGUUAAUUGAUGGGGUUAUCCGUAAGGAGAAGCUCUUGAUCGAAGCCCCGGUAAACGGCGGCCGUAACUAUAACGGUCCUAAGGUAGCGAAAUUCCUUGUCGGGUAAGUUCCGACCUGCACGAAUGGCGUAAUGAUGGCCAGGCUGUCUCCACCCGAGACUCAGUGAAAUUGAACUCGCUGUGAAGAUGCAGUGUACCCGCGGCAAGACGGAAAGACCCCGUGAACCUUCACUAUAGCUUGACACUGAACACUGGUCCUUGAUGUGUAGGAUAGGUGGGAGGCUUUGAAGUGUGGACGCCAGUCUGCAUGGAGCCAUCCUUGAAAUACCACCCUUUAAUGGCUGGUGUUCUAACGUGGACCCGUAAUCCGGGUUGCGGACAGUGUCUGGUGGGUAGUUUGACUGGGGCGGUCUCCUCCUAAAGAGUAACGGAGGAGCACGAAGGUUAGCUAAUCCUGGUCGGACAUCAGGAGGUUAGUGCAAAGGCAUAAGCUAGCUUGACUGCGAGAGUGACGGCUCGAGCAGGUGCGAAAGCAGGUCUUAGUGAUCCGGUGGUUCUGAAUGGAAGGGCCAUCGCUCAACGGAUAAAAGGUACUCCGGGGAUAACAGGCUGAUACCGCCCAAGAGUUCAUAUCGACGGCGGUGUUUGGCACCUCGAUGUCGGCUCAUCACAUCCUGGGGCUGAAGUAGGUCCCAAGGGUAUGGCUGUUCGCCAUUUAAAGUGGUACGCGAGCUGGGUUUAGAACGUCGUGAGACAGUUCGGUCCCUAUCUGCCGUGGGCGCUGGAGAAUUGAGGGGGGCUGCUCCUAGUACGAGAGGACCGGAGUGGACGCAUCACUGGUGUUCGGGUUGUCAUGCCAAUGGCAUUGCCCGGUAGCUAAAUGCGGAAGAGAUAAGUGCUGAAAGCAUCUAAGCACGAAACUUGCCCCGAGAUGAGUUCUCCCUGAGACUUUAAGUCUCCUGAAGGAACGUUGAAGACGACGACGUUGAUAGGUCGGGUGUGUAAGCGUAGCGAUACGUUGAGCUAACCGAUACUAAUGAACCGUGAGGCUUAACCUU
rnacentral:rRNA from 1 species